rnacentral:rRNA from 1 species
UACGUAGGGUGCGAGCGUUAAUCGGAAUUACUGGGCGUAAAGGGUGCGCAGGCGGUUUUGUAAGCCAGAUGUGAAAGCCCCGGGCUUAACCUGGGAAUGGCAUUUGGGACUGCAAGGCUAGAGUGUGGCAGAGGAGACUGGAAUUCCUGGUGUAGCAGUGAAAUGCGUAGAUAUCAGGAGGAAUACCGAUGGCGAAGGCAGGUCUCUGGGCUGACACUGACGCUCAUGCACGAAAGCGUGGGGAGCAAACAGG